AGGAGCACCGUUUACUCCAAGAAAAAGAUCAGAACCUUCCCUCCCAUUUUCUUCUUGGUUCUCGCCUUCACACACAGAAAUCAGACCUUCCCUUCCCUUCCUAAGGAAAACCAACACAAAUUGGGAAAAGAAAAAAUGUUGCCUCGUCCUUUUAUGGCAUUGGCACUUCUGCCUAAUUCUUUCUAGGCAAAUCGAGAAGCUCUCACACCAAAAAAUCUUAUGUAUAAAAUCACCCAUAUUUCUUCCAACCUCGAAAUUUUUCUUUAAUUCCGAGUGCUUUAGGAUUCAUCAUUAUAUGACUUCUCACUCGUAUUCCGUCUUUGCUGUCAAAAGAGAAAAACAAGAAAAGGGGAAAAGACAAAGUUGUUUUGAAAUUUCAGCAUGCUUGGUUGAUUGUAUUUGGGGUUUCAAAGGAUUUCGAGCCAUAGGACUGUUGUUUGCUGUGAUGUUUCUGUUGAUCUCCAUCCUUCAUUUUUGCUUUCAUUUGGUUGCUUUUUUGGAGUACUGCUGCCCAAGAAUUUAGGUUUUCACCAUGAGGCACAAGGUUUGAAAUGACCAAAAGAAGAAGUCUCAACCCAAAUAAAAGAAAAGAAG